UUGACCUCGGAUCAGGUAGGGAUACCCGCUGAACUUAAGCAUAUCAAUAAGCGGAGGAAAAGAAACCAACAGGGAUUGCCUCAGUAACGGCGAGUGAAGCGGCAACAGGCUCAAAUAU
rnacentral:rRNA from 1 species